GUGUGCGGGUGCAUUAUUCCAGCUGCUGCUCUUUUGUCAGCAAUUCCUAAGCAAUGACUGGCGAUGUGAGCCAUUGUCUGGGCCUCCCGGGCCUGGCUCCCUGAGCACUGGGAGCAAGGACGGAGACAGCCGAGGGGACGCACCCACUGCGAGGGGGCCGAAGGAGAUGGGUGCUGCGUUCUCUUGGGGCUACGAAUCCGCCAUUUCUGCAGGUGACCGUCCAAUCUAAAAGCAACGCACGCCGUGGCUUUGCCGCCCAGGAAGGACCUGCCUCUGACCUUAGCUACGCAGAGGUAAAUCAGGAGCAACGCGAGUGACGUCACGGCGUUCCAGCAGAGCAAAAACCACCCGUACCGAGAGCAGGAUCACACCCGGAGCCUGGUUUAAAUCUGUGGUGAGAGGAGAAAUAGGCCUGAAACCCUUACUCCGAACCUGGUUCAGAUCCCCCUUUCACACUGAUGCAAAUGCCAACUGGCUUGCUCCGGAUCUUCCAGGCACGGAUUUUCACCCUGGUGUAAUUCCAUUGGUGCCGGUAGAGUCGCUCCUGAUUUACACUGGUGAGAACAGGACAGGUCCUUUCACAUGGGUCAAAUCCUGAGAAGAGCCAACAGCUCCCCGUUGACGUCACUGGGAGCUGGGGGCCCUCAGCAGCUCUUGGGACAUGCCUGCGAUGAAAGUCACUGGGAGUUUUGCUGGUGUGAAAACUGAAUGAGGACUUCGUGGGACAGCUCUGAGCAGAACCAAGACAACGUGGGACAGUGUGUUUACGAAAUACAGAGACACUUCACCUGGAGCUACUCCCAUAGAACACAGUGAGCACCACUAGAAGCCUCACAAGCUAUUUAAAGUGAUACUACCGUAUUCCUGUAGCUACACUGUUCUUUAACUGUCACUCAUCUGGAAUGAUUGAAAGAGACAAGUCACAUUCACUUGUCGUCAGUUUCACUUGCUGGUUCUUUUUCACUGGCACCAGGCUAGCUGUAAACCCUGCAAGGCGCUUUUCGAUCUCUGUUUCUCAGGUUCUUAUGAGAAAUCUCUCUCUGGGGUAUUGGCUGGAAAUGCAGAUAAAUUUCAAUCCAGGCAAAAAUUAUGGAAUUAAACAAUAAA